rnacentral:rRNA from 1 species
UACAGAGGGUGCAAGCGUUGUUCGGAAUUAUUGGGCGUAAAGCGUGCGCAGGCGGUUUUGUAAGCCAGAUGUGAAAUCCCCGGGCUUAACCUGGGAAUGGCAUUUGGGACUGCAAGGCUGGAGUGUGGCAGAGGAGACUGGAAUUCCCGGUGUAGCAGUGAAAUGCGUAGAUAUCGGGAGGAAUACCGAUGGCGAAGGCAGGUCUCUGGGCUGACACUGACGCUCAUGCACGAAAGCGUGGGGAGCAAACAGG